rnacentral:rRNA from 1 species
UACGUAGGGGGCAAGCGUUGUCCGGAUUUACUGGGCGUAAAGAGCGUGUAGGCGGCCACGCAGGUCCGUUGUGAAAACUGGAGGCUCAACCUUCAGACGUCGACGGAAACCGUGUGGCUAGAGUCCGGAAGAGGAGAGUGGAAUUCCUGGUGUAGCGGUGAAAUGCGCAGAUAUCAGGAAGAACACCAAUGGCAAAGGCAGCUCUCUGGGACGGUACUGACGCUGAGACGCGAAAGCGUGGGGAGCGAACAGG